rnacentral:lncRNA from 1 species
AUGUUGGACUACAGCGUGUGGGGCCACACUGAGCGAUGAUGAAGAGGAGAGGCAUCCCAACACCCACCGGGCUAACCUCUUCCGCUGGCAGCACCAAGCCCGGGUGGAGCUCAUGGAGCAGUUCCAGAAGGAGAAGGAGGAACUGGACAGGGGCUGCUGGGAGUACAAGUGCAAGAUGGCCGAGUGCCAGAGGAAGCUGAAGGAGCUGGAGGUGUCAGAGGGUGCCAGGGUGGAGGUGGAGUGGCUACACGAGGAGCUGAGCUGGGAGCAAAAGCUGGAGGAGAUGCCCAAGAAAAAGAGCAUGACCUGGAACGUGGACACGCUCAGCAAAAGCAGUUUCAGGCUGGGUGAGACGGCUUUAGCAGGAGCAUGGUGAACACCAAGCCUGAUGAGAAGAUGGUCAACUACCUGGUCAUCUGGUGUGCUGAUCUAGAGGUGCAGGAGAAAUGCGCCCUCAUGGAGCAGGUGGUCCACUAGGCAAUUGUCACGCAGUUCAACCUGGUGUUGGUCAGGAGCCGGAAGGGGUCCCCCGGGUCUGCUUCUGGCAGUUCUUCACUGAGAUUCAGACGGCUGACUGCUAGUGCAUGGAGAGCUUCAAGGACGAGCUGGAAGCCUCCACGGAGCCUGUGCGGGGCUGCGCCAAGCUGCGCGUCUAGAAAGCAGGUGGAGCAGGAGUACUAGGAGGAGGAGCUCAAGAAGCAGCUUGGCCCUGAUGGCCUGGAACCCGUGGAGGUGACGAGUUCCCCCCUGAGGAACUCCAAAAGGGCUUCAAUGCGAAGGACGCGCAAAUGCAGCAAGAUGGACCCCACCAAGGCCAAGUUCCCCAUGCAGCAGUGUAUCGACGCCGGCCUCCGGGUCCCCAACUCUGAGGUCAGCGAGGCCAAGGAGGGAGAGGAGGAGUGUUCAGGGACCGGCUGCUGGAAGCUGUUCCCAAGACAGGCGGGGAUGUCAGUGCGUGA